UACGUAGGUGGCAAGCGUUGUCCGGAAUUACUGGGUGUAAAGCGCGCGUAGGCGGAUCGCUAAGUCAGGGGUGAAAUCCCAAGGCUCAACCUUGGAAUUGCCUUUGAUACUGGCAAUCUGGAGUUCGGGAGAGGUGAGUGGAAUUCCGAGUGUAGAGGUGAAAUUCGUAGAUAUUCGGAGGAACACCAGAAGCGAAGGCGGCUCACUGGCCCGAUACUGACGCUGAGGCGCGAAAGCGUGGGGAGCGAACAGG
rnacentral:rRNA from 1 species